rnacentral:rRNA from 1 species
UACGUAGGGUGCAAGCGUUGUCCGGAAUUAUUGGGCGUAAAGAGCUCGUAGGCGGUUUGUUGCGUCGGCUGUGAAAUCCCGAGGCUCAACCUCGGGUCUGCAGUCGAUACGAGCAGGCUAGAGUUCGGUAGGGGAGACUGGAAUUCUCGGUGUAGCGGUGAAAUGCGUAGAUAUCGAGAGGAACACCUGCGGCGAAGGCGGGUUGCUGGGGCUGACACUGACGUGAAGCGCGAAAGCUAGGGGGAGCGAACGGG